rnacentral:rRNA from 1 species
AACGCGAAGAACCUUACCCAGACUUGACAUGCAGUGGACAGUCCUAGAAAUAGGAUCUUCCUUCGGGACCGCUGCACAGGUGCUGCAUGGCUGUCGUCAGCUCGUGCCGUGAGGUGUUUGGUUAAGUCCAGCAACGAGCGCAACCCUUAUCAUUAGUUGCCAACAUUUCGGAUGGGAACUCUAAUGAGACUGCCUGGGUUAACCAGGAGGAAGGUGAGGAUGACGUCAAGUCCGCAUGGCCUUUAUGUCUGGGGCAACACACGUGCUACAAUGGUCGGUACAGAAGGCAGCGAAACCGCGAGGUGGAGCAAAUCCCAAAAGCCGAUCUCAGUUCAGAUUGUAGUCUGCAACUCGACUACAUGAAGACGGAAUUGCUAGUAAUGGCAGGUCAGCACACUGCCGUGAAUACGUUCCCGGGCCUUGUACACACCGAGUAUA